ensembl:miRNA
CAAAGCAAAGAUCUCUUCUACCAAUGGUGCAUUCUUUAAAAAGAAUGGGUUCUGUUGGAGAGAAGAGACAAAAUGGGCCGUG